UUCCUAGGAAUUUAUCUUCUAGUGCAAGGGCAUCUAAAAUUUGUUAUUUUGUGACUUUUUUAAAAAAUUUUACAAAAACGAGUUUGGGUCUCAACUUUUGUGUGCAAGUAUAUUUAUAGGUUCUCGAUCUAUGGAUAUAUGAAUCCUUUCAUCUUGUUUAUAUAAGCUCCUGUGAGUGUAUUUUUUUGACAGUUUUUUUUUGUAUUGAAUAUUUUUCCAGUUUACCACGUAUUGCGCAGAUGGGAAUAGAGGAGCAUGCAAUGAAUGAUCAGUGCCCCAUUGCAGCCCCAAGAGUCGCAUGUAACGUCUUGGACUCUUUGGUGUUCAUUCUCGUUUUGCAGCAGCGCGGCUACGGCAAGUUGAUUACUCCAUAUAUAUUUUCGUGUUAUAAAAUAUGUUGCCAGCGGUUGGGACCUUUUUCUCUCCGUCUCUCAUGAUCAAUAUAGUAGAUGAAAGUAGAAGAACAAAUAGACACAAGAUAGGGAAACUAUUCUUUAUUUCUCUGAAUAUUGGUGAUUACAACAUAGAGCUCCCACAUAUAUAUAGUCCUGCCAAGGCCUAAAAGUUUUGGUAAGAGCCCAUAUAAAAACGGACUAGGACUAGGAUUCCUCCUUUCACACAUGUUGAUGAGAAAAUGUGUGCCGGAGGCUAUUCUCUUUUCAAAGUCGCUGUCGUCUUAGAUAUUACUUGUG
rnacentral:lncRNA from 1 species